rnacentral:tRNA from 1 species
AUUUUAUUAGUAUAACUAAAGUAUUUUUAAUUUCCAAUUAAAAGGUUAAUUUAUAAUAAAAUAAUAAAAUU